rnacentral:rRNA from 1 species
UGGGGAAUAUUGCACAAUGGGCGCAAGCCUGAUGCAGCCAUGCCGCGUGUGUGAAGAAGGCCUUCGGGUUGUAAAGCACUUUCAGCGAGGAGGAAGGUGGUGAACUUAAUACGUUCAUCAAUUGACGUUACUCGCAGAAGAAGCACCGGCUAACUCCGUGCCAGCAGCCGCGGUAAUACGGAGGGUGCAAGCGUUAAUCGGAAUUACUGGGCGUAAAGCGCACGCAAGGCGGUUUGUUAAGUCAGAUGUGAAAUCCCCGGGCUCAACCUGGGAACUGCAUUUGAAACUGGCAAGCUAGAGUCUCGUAGAGGGGGUAGAAUUCCAGGUGUAGCGGUGAAAUGCGUAGAGAUCUGGAGGAAUACCGGUGGCGAAGGCGGCCCCCUGGACGAAGACUGACGCUCAGGCUGCGAAAGCGUGGGGAGCAAAACAGGAUUAGAUACCCUGGUAGUCCACGCUGUAAACGAUGUCGAUUUUGGAGGUUGUGCCCUUGAGGCGUGGCUUCCGGAGCUAACGCGUUAAAUCGACCGCCUGGGGAGUACGGCCGCAAGGUUAAAACUCAAAUGAAUUGAC